UACAGAGGUCUCAACCGUUGUUCGGAUUCAUUGGGCGUAAAGGGUGCGUAGGCGGUCGCGUAAGUCAGGUGUGAAAUCCCGGGGCUCAACCCCGGUACUGCACUUGAUACUGCGUGGCUAGGGUACUGGAGAGGAGACUGGAAUUUACGGUGUAGCGGUGAAAUGCGUAGAUAUCGUAAGGAAGACCAGUGGCGAAGGCGAAUCUCUGGACAGUUACUGACACUGAGGCACGAAGGCCAGGGGAGCAAACGGG
rnacentral:rRNA from 1 species